AGAGUUUGAUCCUGGCUCAGGAUGAACGCUAGCGGCAGGCCUAAUACAUGCAAGUCGAGGGGGAAGGCUCUUUCGGGAGUACACGACCGGCGCACGGGUGCGUAACGCGUAUGCAACCUACCUUUAACUGGGGAAUAGCCCCGAGAAAUCGGGAUUAAUACCUCAUAACACUGCGAAGUGGCAUCACUUUGCAAUUAAAGCUCCGGCGGUUAAAGAUGGGCAUGCGUGACAUUAGCUAGUUGGUGAGGUAACGGCUCACCAAGGCUACGAUGUCUAGGGGUUCUGAGAGGAUGAUCCCCCACACUGGUACUGAGACACGGACCAGACUCUUACGGGAGGCAGCAGUAAGGAAUAUUGGUCAAUGGGCGCAAGCCUGAACCAGCCAUCCCGCGUGCAGGAUGACGGCCCUAUGGGUUGUAAACUGCUUUUAUACACCAAGAAAAAUCUCCACGUGUGGGGACCCGACGGUAGUGUAAGAAUAAGCAUCGGCUAACUCCGUGCCAGCAGCCGCGGUAAUACGGAGGAUCCAAGCGUUAUCCGGAUUUAUUGGGUUUAAAGGGUGCGUAGGCUGAUUGAUAAGUCAGCGGUGAAAUUUUUCCGCUCAACUGGAAAAAUGCCAUUGAUACUGCCAGUCUGGAGUAUGGUUGAGGUAGCUGGAAUGUGUCAUGUAGCGGUGAAAUGCUUAGAGAUGACACAGAACACCGACGGCGAAGGCAGGUUACCAACCCAUUACUGACGCUGAGGCACGAAAGCGUGGGGAUCAAACAGGAUUAGAUACCCUGGUAGUCCACGCCGUAAACUAUGAUUACUAGUUGUUGGCGAUACAUUGCCAGUGACUGAGCGAAAGCAUUAAGUAAUCCACCUGGGGAGUACGUUCGCAAGAAUGAAACUCAAAGGAAUUGACGGGGGCCCGCACAAGCGGAGGAACAUGUGGUUUAAUUCGAUGAUACGCGAGGAACCUUACCUGGGCUCGAACGUAGGCUGCAUUCGGCUGAAAGGCUGAUUCCCUUCGGGGCUGCUUACGAGGUGCUGCAUGGUUGUCGUCAGCUCGUGCCGUGAGGUGUCGGGUUAAGUCCUGUGCAACGAGCGCAACCCUUAUCCUUAGUUACCAGCAUUUAGUUGGGGACUCUAGGGAGACUGCCGGUGAUAAACCGGAGGAAGGUGGGGAUGACGUCAAAUCAUCACGCCCUUUAUGACUUGGGCGACACACGUACUACAAUGGUAUAUACAAAGGGCAGCUACCAGGUGACUGGAUGCGAAUCUUUAAAAUCGGUCUCAGUUCGGAUCGGAGUCUGCAACUCGACUCCGUGAAGUCGGAUUCGCUAGUAAUCGCGCAUCAGCCAUGGCGCGGUGAAUACGUUCCCGGGCCUUGUACACACCGCCCGUCAAGCCAUGGAAGCUGGGGGUGCCUGAAGUUCGUGACCGCAAGGAGCGACCUAGGGCAAAACUAGUAACUGGGGCUAAGUCGUAACAAGGUAACC
rnacentral:rRNA from 1 species